rnacentral:rRNA from 1 species
GACGAACGCUGGCGGCGUGCUUAACACAUGCAAGUCGAACGGAAAGGCCCUGCUUUUGUGGGGUGCUCGAGUGGCGAACGGGUGAGUAACACGUGAGUAACCUGCCCUUGACUUUGGGAUAACUUCAGGAAACUGGGGCUAAUACCGGAUAGGAGCUCCUGCUGCAUGGUGGGGGUUGGAAAGUUUCGGCGGUUGGGAUGGACUUGCGGCUUAUCCGCUUGUUGGUGGGGUAGUGGCUUACCAAGGCUUUGACGGGUAGCCGGCCUGAGAGGGCGACCGGCCACAUUGGGACUGAGAUACGGCCCAGACUCCUACGGGAGGCAGCAGUGGGGAAUAUUGCACAAUGGGCGGAAGCCUGAUGCAGCAACGCCGCGUGCGGGAUGACGGCCUUCGGGUUGUAAACCGCUUUCGCCUGUGACGAAGCGUGAGUGACGGUAAUGGGUAAAGAAGCACCGGCUAACUACGUG